UACUGCAUACCAGUAGACCCUUUCUGGCUGGCCUCGUAGCCAAAAAGGGGGGACAGCGUAUGCAACAGAAAGC
rnacentral:miRNA from 1 species